UACGAAGGGGGCUAGCGUUGCUCGGGAUCACUGGGCGUAAAGCGCACGUAGGCGGCUUUCUAAGUCAGGGGUGAAAUCCUGGAGCUCAACUCCAGAACUGCCUUUGAUACUGGAGAGCUUGAGUCCGGAAGAGGUGAGUGGAACUCCGAGUGUAGAGGUGAAAUUCGUAGAUAUUCGGAAGAACACCAGUGGCGAAGGCGGCUCACUGGUCCGGUACUGACGCUGAUGUGCGAAAGCGCGGGGAGCGAACGGG
rnacentral:rRNA from 1 species